rnacentral:rRNA from 1 species
CUCCUACGGGAGGCAGCAGCAGGGAAUUUUGCACAAUGGGCGCAAGCCUGAUGCAGCGACGCCGCGUGAGGGAUGAAGGCCUUCGGGUUGUAAACCUCUUUCAGGAGGGACGAAGCGCAAGUGACGGUACCUCCAGAAGAAGCCCCGGCCAACUACGUGCCAGCAGCCGCGGUAAUACGUAGGGGGCGAGCGUUGUCCGGAUUCAUUGGGCGUAAAGAGCUCGUAGGCGGCUCAGUAAGUCGGCCGUGAAAGCCCAGGGCUCAACCCUGGGAGGCCGGUCGAUACUGCUGUGGCUAGGGUCCGGUAGAGGAGAGUGGAAUUCCCGGUGUAGCGGUGAAAUGCGCAGAUAUCGGGAGGAACACCAGUAGCGAAGGCGGCUCUCUGGGCCGGUACCGACGCUGAGGAGCGAAAGCUAGGGGAGCAAACAGGAUUAGAUACCCUGGUAGUCCUAGCCGUAAACGUUGGGCACUAGGUGUGGCGGAUUCAUUGACAUCUGCCGUGCCGGAGCUAACGCAUUAAGUGCCCCGCCUGGGGAGUACGGUCGCAAGGCUAAAACUCAAAGGAAUUGACGG